AAAAUAUAUCUGGUAGCGGAAUUGUUAUGUGCCUUAUAAAGCUUCAUCUUAUCACAUUAUCAAAGCUGAUAACGUUGCCAACAAUCGACUAAUUGCGUGACAGCAAUGUGCGUGACGUCACUCCGUGAGAGGGAUUAAUGUCAAGAUGCAGGAGUGGUAACGUGGUAGACAGAAAACUACAACCGUCAGCGCCUUUGAUUCUGGAUAUCCUACAUAUAUAUGUAGAUAUUUACCAAGAAGCUACAUCUAGAGAGAAAACUACAUCGUCACACCUUCAAUUCUGCGUAUCCAACAUAUAUAUGUAGAUAUUUACCAAGAAGCUACACCUGCGUCAGAUAUUCAACACAGAGUGAAUCUGAGAGAAAAAGGAAACUCGAAAUCUCAUUAAAAAACAUUAAUUAUUGAGUCACGUUCAGUUACUAUAAUGACAGCUAAUAUGAUUGCUUAAAAUGAGAAGUGAUAUGAUAAACGAUAAAAGAAGUAGGAUAUUAAAAGUUUUAGGAUUAGCUUGUAGGUUAAGAAUCACUAGAUCAGCUGAUAUAAUAUUCCAUUAAGUGAAAUGGGAAUUAAUUUAAUUAUGUAGAUAAACAAUUCUCUUUUAUCAUAGCAUUUAUAUAACAUUUUUUGUGAUAGCUAUCAGAUGACUAAGACAGUGUAUUUAUAUUCGCAGAUAUACACUAUAUUAUAUUACGUAGUCGAAUUCACGAAACUUUCCAAUAAGUAACAUGAUUAUGAUUUUUAGAUUUUUUAUGUUUGUGAAAUUUUGGUUCUAUUCUGUAAUAUAAAACUAAUGAUACAUAGAAAAAUGUAAGCAUUAAUAAGGUAUACAAAGAUUGACAAUUUUAUGAUAUGGCAGUUAAAAUUUGAAUUAUUAGCUUAUUAAAAUUAUUUUAUGAUUUAUUAUCCUGAUUAGACAUAUAUUUAUUUAUAAUUUAGUAAUAUUUGAGAAUGAGAUGUUGAAUAAUGUAAGAAUAUAGAUGUUGAGUAAUGUAAAUCGGUGGUAUAGUACAGAGAUAUGCCAUAUGUGGACAUUGAACUAUAUAGUCAUAUUUACAGAAACUACUCCAAAGAUAAUACAAUUAUGUCGGACUUUCUGAUUGUAUUUUAUUGUGUUCAUGAUUUUCUGGUUUUGUUCCAUGCUAUAUUCACAAAAUAUACAGAACAGAACCAAAAAAUUGUGGACAUAACGGAACACAGCCAAAAAAUCAUAGACAUAAUACCGAACACAAUUGGGAAUAUAGCCAUUUUAUCUUUCAUAGAUUGGAAUUGCGUUUCAUUUAAUACAUUGUCUACAUUAGAGAAGACCAUCGCAUACAAAAUGAUCAUAUAUGUAUAAUAUAAGAUCCUCUGGACCAAUCAGUAUGCUAUGUAAAUCAAUAUGGCAACUUUAUAUUGAAAGUUCAUUGAUUCAGACAAGCUUAUAUUAUGCAUGUCAUUUUGUAUAUGAUCUUUAAACCUUAAAAUUCCUAUCACUACAGUCAUACUGGAAUUAUGUCAUGCAAAAAA